rnacentral:miRNA from 1 species
AGGAAUGUAGAAUUAGGAAUUCGG